AUUGAACGCUGGCGGCAGGCUUAACACAUGCAAGUCGAGCGGGGUGAUGGUGCUUGCACUAUCACUUAGCGGCGGACGGGUGAGUAAUGCUUAGGAAUCUGCCUAUUAGUGGGGGACAACAUCUCGAAAGGGAUGCUAAUACCGCAUACGUCCUACGGGAGAAAGCAGGGGAUCACUUGUGACCUUGCGCUAAUAGAUGAGCCUAAGUCGGAUUAGCUAGUUGGUGGGGUAAAGGCCUACCAAGGCGACGAUCUGUAGCGGGUCUGAGAGGAUGAUCCGCCAAACUGGGACUGAAGACGGGCCCAGACUCCUACGGGAGGCAGCAGUAGGGAAAAUUGGACAAUGGGGGGAACCCUGAUCCAGCCAUGCCGCGUGUGUGAAGAAGGCCUUAUGGUUGUAAAGCACUUUAAGCGAGGAGGAGGCUCUUUUGGUUAAUACCCAAGAUGAGUGGACGUUACUCGCAGAAUAAGCACCGGCUAACUCUGUGCCAGCCGCCGCCGUAA
rnacentral:rRNA from 1 species